UACGAAGGGGGCUAGCGUUGCUCUGAAUUCCUGGGCGUAAAGCGCACGUAGGCGGGUUGUUAAGUCGGGGGUGAAAUCCUGGAGCUCAACUCCAGAACUGCCUUCGAAACUGACGAUCUUGAGUUCGGGAGAGGUGAGUGGAACUGCGAGUGUAGAGGUGAAAUUCGUAGAUAUUCGCAAGAACACCAGUGGCGAAGGCGGCUCACUGGCCCGAUACUGACGCUGAGGCACGAAAGCGUGGGGAGCAAACAGG
rnacentral:rRNA from 1 species